rnacentral:lncRNA from 1 species
GACAACCGGUGCAUGAAACCCCUGUCACAUACUCCCUAGAUGGCUCAAUCAAUCAUGACACUUUCAUGUAAAAUCUUUAGUAUUGUGAGCCCUUAAAAGGGACAGAAUUUGUGCACUCAAGAAGCUCGGAUUUUGAGAUGUUAGUCUGCUGAUGCUUCCAGCUGACUAAAGCCACUUCCUCCACUCCCUCAGUGUCUGUGAGGUUUUGUCUGCAGCUCAUCCUGCUACAUUUCUUGUUUCCCUGAUCAGGAAGCGAGGUAACUGACGGACGGCUGAGGCAUCCCCUUAGGCAGCUUAGGCCUGCUCUAUGGAGCAUCCCUGUGGGAGACUCUGGCCUGCCUUAGUGACGUGAUCCAAAGAGUGAUCCCAGGUAGGCAAUUGCCCUGGUGGAAUGCCUUGCCAGAGCAGCAUGUGCCAGGCCCACAUGGAGGAUCAACGCAGUGGCUGAACACAAGGGAGGAACUGGCACUUGGAGUGCAGACAUCUGAAACUUGGUUUUUGCAUGAAGAGGAGCAGGAGUCUCGAAGGCACAGCCAGGGAGUUUCGCAAUACACUGUCCUGCUGAAUACUGAGGGGCAUCCAUGGUAGGUCUCUAGAUUUCCUUCUCUUCUUCAAGGCUCUCUCCUGCAAAGGAUGCCAUAUUUUUCUCUGGUUCUGAUUCUCUGACUCUGAUUCUCUGAUUCUGAACUUUGUCUUCUCAAUUCACAGAGUUUCACUGGGCUUUUUCUGAAAUCCACUUCCAUGUGCAGUACCCUGGAAACUCUCUGUUUACGAGCCUGGAAAGCUGUGGGGUUCAAUUCCUUGUUUUGCCCAUCUCUCAUUGCCUUUUGCUGACUGUCAUUAAAAGUG